rnacentral:ncRNA from 2 species
UGGAAACGAAAGCACGCGGGUGCCCGGCCUGUCAUCGGGCCGGGCGGCAACAGGGAAGACGGGUGAAAAGCCCGCGCGGUCCCGCCGCCGUAAGGAGAGAGCACGCCCCAACUGCCACUGGUUCCCCCGGGAGCUGGGAAGGCGGGGCGCGCGUGGAAUCCGAGCCGGAAUACCUGCCCGCUGUGCGCGCGCUGC